rnacentral:lncRNA from 1 species
CAUUUUCCUGGCGCAGGCUCAGGGCACACCACAAUUCACCUGAGGAGUCAGACGCCGGGGAGCCAGCUCCCAUUCCUGGCGAGAGGUGUCAGCCCCGACUGGUGCAGAGUGCGAGGAGCUGGCAGAAAACCAUCUAGGAUGAAAAAGCAGUGCUUGUGUAUCCACAUCUGACCUGAAAGCUCCGUGUGGACCUGGGAGACUGAAACCCACCAUUGGCACAAAGCAAAAUCAGGACUAGCCAGCACUCAAAGGUGAAAAUUAAAGCAGGACACAAGGAACCCACUGACUGCAAUACAUUCAGUCGUGGAUGAUUCAUGGAGUAAUUCUGAGUAGCAAACACACUGGGCACAAAGAACAUCCAAAGAUGGAGCAGGUGACCAGGCCUGUACCAGGGAGACACUGAGCAGACAUGGACCCAGAGGCCCCAGAGACCAGCUGGGGUGCCAGGGCAGAGAUGAUUGCCAGGAAAUUGGUUUGAAGGUAAAGCUGGCGUCGUCCAGCCUGGCUGUUCGUUAUUUGAGGGCUCAUCAUCAUCUUCCCAUGGAUUCCUACUUCCCAACUAUGUCCACGCCUUGCAGAGGGUUCCUUGAUCUGCUGGUUUGUAUCUAGAGGGCUGCUGCAAAAGUUGUUGUGCUGGCCAGUGGCUUAGACCACAUCAUUCCUCCCCAUGCUCCUCCCUGGCACCCUCUUUUUUUUCUGCCCCAAUUGUGGACUCUUCAUCUUCCCCCUCCCAGCCCUUCAUUAUCCACCUCUCCUCCACCCAGCAUCUCCCAUGCAACAGAGACUGUCUCCAUCGCC